UGGAGAUCUGUUUCACUUCUUUGGGAUUCAGGAAUUAUCUCCUAUAAUCAGGACAUCAAACCCAUGGAGCAGGUGUACUACUCCUGUGGUGCAGUGGUGGAAUCAAUGGAAAGAGGCCUGAUUUUGUCACCAGGUUUUCCAAACAACUACUACCCAGGGACGCACUGCGUCUGGCAGUUCUUCAUUCCCAUGAGGACCCAUCUCAUCCUGGAAAUAUUUGACUUUGACAUUUUUGAGAGCUCCAGUGAAACUCCAGCCCCCUGGGAUGGCUUCUCAGCCCCUGCUACAACAGAAAAUAAGGACAUGCCUUCUCUUGAGGAAAACCUGGGCUUUGCUGUCCACACCACAAAACCUUCUCUCCAGAGCUCGACGUCGAAGGGGGCUCAGAACCUGAGCAGCACUGGAGACCAGUCAAAGAACCUUGCUGGUCACCUGGAGGAACUUCCAGGAGCCAUCUCCAAAAAAAAUGAAGCCAAGCAAGCAUCUGAAGAAAACCAGUGGAAGCAGAUGAAGGAACCCAAAGCAAUGACCAAGGCUCAGCCAGAGGAGCUGCCGUUGCCCGUGGCUGGUAGUGCCUCAAUGCAGAGGCAGAACACCAGUGGCCUGGAAACAGGAGAGGAUGUGGAAGGGAAGGUGUUGCUUGCCCACCUGGCUGCUGGUGAGAGGGAUGAAGUCACAGCAGAGAGCUGGACACUUCCCUCAACAGCACUGCCCAUGGAAAUCUCCUCCAGCCCUCAGCCAGCAGGGGAUGUCUGUCCCCAUGAUGUGUUGUAUGUUUCCGAUCUCAUCACAUUUUCCUCUCGCUUCUGCGGCCCAAAUUCCCCUGUAAACAAGACCAUGGUGUUUGGUUCAUCUCUGGAGAUGGUGGAGGUCAUCAUGGAGCUGAUCACGACCACGGACCGCGGCCGAGGCUUCGCGAUGCUGUUCGAGUACAGGAACAUCAGCGAGCCCGGCCCCGUGGGUGCUGUGAGGCAGGACAGGAGGGAAAACAUGAUGCUGCUGGCAGUUGUGACAGGGAUUGUUGUCUUUGCUCUUGCUUUGCUCUCUGCCCUCUGCGUAGCCUGCAGGCAGAGAACGUGCCCCAAAAGGAGCUCAUCCAACGCAUGCAGUGACCAGGAGAACAGGAUCCAGAACUCCACUGUCGAUAUCAAUGAGCUCCAGCUGGUGGUGCCAAGCCGGGAGAAUGAGAACAACAACCACUCUGUGAGCCGGGAGCAGGCGGUCACUUCCUGCAGAGGCAGCACAGAACGGUCUCCUCAGGACACUGACCCAGAUGUGCCCUCCUCCAUCUCUGCCGUGACCACUGAGACUGGGAGUGAUGAAGUGUUCAUCAUUUCUGCUGGACCUGGGACCAGUGGGCUGAGCUUUACCACCUACAGGAUACAGGACAAAAACCUGAAAAGGAGCGUGACAAGCCCGGGCUCUGUGUCGGACUGGCUGAGCUCCCAGCCCGCGGCUGCAGGGGCUGCGGAGAAGGGGAACGUGCAGCUGGAGAAUCCCUGUCCCCGGCAGCGCACCUGGAGCGCCCGCACCUUCCACGACCUCCUGGCUCCCAUCCCACAGCUGCAGAAGAAAUGGUGCAGCUGGAGCACCAACAGCCCCUUCACAAAGCUGGUGGACAGCAGUGGUUUUUCUACAGCUGCAAGGCCCCAAGGUGUUCCAACCAGAAAGGUAAUCUCAGCCACUGAGAUAGAGGGAGCAUCAGAGACUAUUUACUCUGAUUCAUCUGCCAGCAAUGCCUCCUAUCCCCUCACUCUGUCUGCACAGAGGCAGCGAAAGAUAACCUCCUGCAAUUUGAAGAAAUCCAGAUUUGGGAACCCUUAUUUUGGAUUUUUAGCCAGUUCCCCUGACAGCAAACAUAUGAGGUCCUUGGAUCCCUCAAGACAUCUAGGGGCAGCAUCUCCAGUUAACAACCAAAGCCCCAAAAAUCUUCUAGAGAGCUCCAACCCACUGAAAAUCAACUUGGUCAACGGUUCGAAAACAAAGGAGCUUAUGGUAGAAACAGAUAAAAACAAACCAGUUUUUGUUAUUUCUGAAGAAGGGGAUGAUCAGCAGCCUCUGGUCCUGGCAGAACACCUUAGUCAGUGUGGAGAUCACCUGCCAGAGCAAAAUGCUGCGUAUGCUCAGGCCGUGCCAGAGAAGCAGCCGGUGGUUCUGAGUGCGGAGAGGAACAGCUCUGCCCCCUUCACACCGAGCCUUCCCCUCUGGGCUAAAUCCCCCGCGUCGUACAAAGGCCAUGGGAAGGGCCCCAGCUCCUCCAGGGACCAGCAGAGCUCAGCUCUCAGUGUUGGUGGGGAUGCCAACAGUGCUGAGCCCUCCCAGAACUGCGACACCCCCGGUGCUGCCACGCUGUGCCAAGCCUCAGCCCAGUGA
rnacentral:lncRNA from 1 species